UACGUAGGGACCAAGCGUUGUUCGGAUUUACUGGGCGUAAAGGGCGCGUAGGCGGCGUGACAAGUCACUUGUGAAAUCUCCGGGCUUAACUCGGAACGGUCAAGUGAUACUGUCGUGCUAGAGUGCAGAAGGGGCAAUCGGAAUUCUUGGUGUAGCGGUGAAAUGCGUAGAUAUCAAGAGGAACACCUGAGGUGAAGACGGGUUGCUGGGCUGACACUGACGCUGAGGCGCGAAAGCUAGGGGAGCAAACGGG
rnacentral:rRNA from 1 species